UACAGAGGUCCCAAGCGUUGUUCGGAUUCACUGGGCGUAAAGGGUGCGUAGGCGGUCGGGUAAGUCUGACGUGAAAUCUUCAAGCUUAACUUGGAAACUGCGUCGGAUACUAUUCGGCUGGAGGAAUGGAGGGGAGACUGGAAUACUUGGUGUAGCAGUGAAAUGCGUAGAUAUCAAGUGGAACACCAGUGGCGAAGGCGAGUCUCUGGACAUUUCCUGACGCUGAGGCACGAAAGCCAGGGGAGCAAACGGGG
rnacentral:rRNA from 1 species